AUAUCAAUAAGCGGAGGAAAAGAAACCAACAGGGAUUGCCUCAGUAACGGCGAGUGAAGCGGCAAAAGCUCAAAUUUGAAAUCUGGCACCUUCGGUGUCCGAGUUGUAAUUUGAAGAAGGUAACCUUGGUAUUGGCUCUUGUCUAUGUUUCUUGGAACAGAACGUCACAGAGGGUGAGAAUCCCGUGCGAUGAGAUGCCCAAUUCUAUGUAAGGUGCUUUCGAAGAGUCGAGUUGUUUGGGAAUGCAGCUCUAAGUGGGUGGUAAAUUCCAUCUAAAGCUAAAUAUUGGCGAGAGACCGAUAGCGAACAAGUACAGUGAUGGAAAGAUGAAAAGAACUUUGAAAAGAGAGUGAAAAAGUACGUGAAAUUGUUGAAAGGGAAGGGUAUGAGAUCAGACUUGGUGUUUUGCAACCUUACUCUCGGGUGGGGCCCCUGCAGUUCAUCGGGCCAGCAUCAGUUUGGAUGGUAGGAUAAUGGCAUUGGAAUGUAGCUUGGCUUCGGUUAAGUGUUAUAGCCUUUGUUGAUACUGCCUGUCUAGACUGAGGACUGCGUCUUUGACUAGGAUGCUGGCAUAAUGAUCCUAUACCGC
rnacentral:rRNA from 1 species